rnacentral:rRNA from 1 species
AGAGUUUGAUCAUGGCUCAGGACGAACGCUGGCGGCGUGCCUAAUACAUGCAAGUCGAGCGGACUUGUAGGAGCUUGCUCCUGCAAGUUAGCGGCGGACGGGUGAGUAACACGUGGGCAACCUGCCUGUAAGACUGGGAUAACUUCGGGAAACCGGAGCUAAUACCGGAUAAUCCUUUUCCUCACAUGAGGGAGAGUUGA